AUGAGACCUGCAUAGCCAGUGAACUGAAGACCAGUUAGAGACAGACAUGUGGUCUGUCCCAAGAAGACUGGCAUCCAGAAUGGACUUCAAGUAAACCAAAGUGAGAGGGGACCUCAGUAAGGAAGUGGGACCAGAGACCAUUCAUUCAUCUUUCUGGCACUGUGGAUCCUCUGAUGGAGGCAGACAGGCUCACAGAUUGCAGGUUUUCUCUACCAUUAUGAAGAUUCUCUGAUGUCCACUACUGGAACACAACUGAACCCAGCAACAUUGCAAUGAGCAAUGUGUAGAAAAUACUCUUACAGCCAAACAUCAGUGACCACAGCUGUCUACUACAGCAAGGUUCUUUUACCAGAAGUCAUUGACAGCUGCAAACAAGGAAUGCGGAAGUGAGGACCUAAAUGGAAAAUGUGCAGCAGCAUGUUAAAGAUGUUUUGUAAUUAUUGUAUUACAGAACAAUUAUGUUUCAUAUUAGGCUUUAUUCCAGUCAUAUAUAUUCAAAUUCCAGCAACCUUUGCCAUCUCGAAAGAAAUUAAUAUGCAUAUUUAUCUCUAUGUUUAAAGACCACUUUCAUGUGGCACAUGACAGUGGAAAAAUUGGAAUAUACUAACCUAUAAAUAGUACUGUUGUCACUGCAAUGAUGUGUUAACCAACUUCAUGUGACUGUGAAAAACAGCUUCUGGCUGUGUUUGUUCAUAUUCUGUA